UACGGGGGGAGCAAGCGUUGUUCGGAUUUACUGGGCGUAAAGGGCGCGUAGGCGGUCAGCACAAGUCAGUUGUGAAAUCUCCGGGCUUAACUCGGAAAGGUCAACUGAUACUGUGCGACUAGAGUGCGGAAGGGGCAACUGGAAUUCUCGGUGUAGCGGUGAAAUGCGUAGAUAUCGAGAGGAACACCUGCGGCGAAGGCGGGUUGCUGGGCCGACACUGACGCUGAGGAGCGAAAGCCAGGGGAGCAAACGGG
rnacentral:rRNA from 1 species